AUUGGUAGUAAAUAGUACAUUUCUUAUAGUUACCCGAUGGCAGAGUGAUCAAGGUUGGUGGUGAGAGGUUCGAGGCUCCGGAAGCGCUGUUCCAACCUCAUCUCAUCAAUGUCGAGGGUCAAGGGAUCGCUGAGCUGGUGUUUAACACCAUACAGGCUGCAGAUAUAGACAUGCGCAACGAACUAUACAAGCAUAUAGUACUGUCGGGAGGUUCCACUAUGUACCCCGGACUACCCUCUCGCUUAGAGAGAGAGAUCAAACAACUAUACUUGGAGAGAGUACUGAGGAAUGACUGCGAUAAGCUUGCCAAAUUCAAGAUUCGAAUCGAAGACCCGCCGCGGCGCAAGGACAUGGUGUUCAUAGGGGGCGCUGUGCUCGCUGAGGUCUGCAAGAAUAGAGAUAAUUUCUGGCUUUCUAGAGCUGAAUA